AAUAUUAAAGUCCAACAAAUCAUUUUUAGAAGGACACGGCCCCGUUUCUCACAAAUGAUGGAUAAAAAUGUGGAAAGAAAGCCAAAGUAAACAAAAAAUAAGUUGGCAAACUUGUUCCUACAGAAAGAAAUCAAUUAAAUCUUUUCUGCAUCCCUGACACAGUAGUGUCUUCUUGCUGUUCAGUUAAAAGUACAAUAUGUUCGCAUCUAAAAAGUACAAGAAAUAGAUGAUUUUUAAAAAUACUAUGGGUGAGGCUAUCCAUGUGUUACGGACUGUAUCAACAACUUCCGUCACAUCAGCAACAUGCACCGCAUCAACUGCACCAUCAGCAACCUUCUCAAAUGAUUCCUCCACAAAAACAUUCCCAACUACCUCCACAGCAUCAGCAGAAUCCUCCAUACCACCAGGGAAUGCAUCUGCAAAACUUCAAUCUACCGACAUUUGGUAUACCGCCCCCGGGCUACGGUGGGUAUCAACCUGCAUGGGAAGAGUACAACCUCCAUGGGGAAUGCAAUGGAAAGAGAUGAAUUCCGAAAACUGAUGGAAGAUGCUCAUCUUAAUGGAAAAUCAUUAUUUAGUGAAUUAAGUCAACGUUAUGGACGCCACGAUCACAACAAAACCAUCGAAAAAGUACGUGAAUGUGAAAGUUUUUUUCAAAGAGUACAUUGUCGAUUUUCUUCUCAAAAAAGAAGAGGAUAAAAUUCAGAAAAAGAAAAAGCAGCCUCAUACUACCACCAUCUUGUUGGGAUGCGUCUGCGAUCUCUUGUGCUAAUCUAUAUGCCAUUGUUUAUUGGUGCUUUGAAUCGUCAUGAAGUCGAAAAGAAGGAUAAAUGGAUUCAAGAGUUUUUGCAAUUUGUCUACAGCAAUUGCUGUUCGGUUGAUCCAAGGCAAAGUGAAUUGAGAUCAUCGAUCUUUGCUACAUUACCCAUUGUAGCACCAGAAUAAUUUGUCGCACACACGAGAUCUAUUAGUGAAAUGUUGACUGCUGCUUUAACUGAUAACGAAACCAGUGGAAAUAUGGCUACUCAAGUGAUAUAUAAAAUUUGUAUAACUAUAACCUAUUUGGUGCCAUUCAUUUUUAUACACAAGACUGUUGAAUUGACGGACCAGAAGUCGAUUGCUAUGAUUAUUAAGUUUCUUCAAGCUUUUGUCGUCGAUAACUCUCUGAUAAGGUUAUUCAAACUUUUGGAGUAUCCCCAACUACACUCAACAAACAUUCGUUUGUUGUUGGACUUUCACUUGAAAGCUUCGAAAAACACUCAGUUGGAUAGCUCAGUGCGUGUAAACACUGGCAUCUAUUGGCUGGUUGGUGCGCUUGAAUAAGAAGGUAAUUGUCAGGCAAGAGCUCGUUGAACUCAUCAUUCAGGUUGUCUUGAAUCCAAUUGAGGCAUUACCCUCCAGUGGUGGAGAUGAAAAACAUGGCGCUGACACACCACCGUUGCUGGAAAGGAAAAUAACAUGCAUAUUUUGAUUCUUUCGUGGUUGGCUGCAGCCACUGAAGCAUGCAAUGCUGAAUUUAAAAGUCAAGAGUUUGCUUCGGCAAAAAGUGCUUCAUAUUGUUGUAAUAUACCUAGAGUGCUUAAAUGAACAUUAAAAUAAAUAUAUAUACAUAUAUA